rnacentral:rRNA from 1 species
GUGAGGAAUAUUGCGCAAUGGGGGCAACCCUGACGCAGUGACGCCGCGUGAGUGAUGAAGGCUUUCGAGUUGUAAAGCUCUGUUAGGUGGAAAGAAACACUCCAGCGCUAAUAUCGCUGGGGCUUGACGGUACCACCAGAGGAAGCACCGGCUAACUCCGUGCCAGCAGCCGCGGUAAUACGGAGGGUGCAAGCGUUGUUCGGAUUUACUGGGCGUAAAGGGCGUGUAGGCGGUUGGCUAAGUCAGAUGUGAAAGCCCUUGGCUUAACCAAGGAAGAGCAUUUGAAACUGGCUAACUAGAGUACAGGAGAGGAAAGUGGAAUUCCCAGUGUAGAGGUGAAAUUCAUAGAUAUUGGGAGGAACACCGGUAGCGAAGGCGGCUUUCUGGUCUGAUACUGACGCUGAGACGCGAAAGCGUGGGGAGCAAACAGGAUUAGAUACCCCGGUAGUCC